rnacentral:rRNA from 1 species
AACUUUACGGAUCACACUAUGUGACAUAUCAUUCAAGUUUCUGACCUAUCAGCUUUAGACGGUAGGGUAUUGGCCUACCGUGGCUAUGACGGGUAACGGGGAAUUAGGGUUCGAUUCCGGAGAGGGAGCCUGAGAAACGGCUACCACAUCUAAGGAAGGCAGCAGGCGCGCAAAUUACCCAAUCCUAAUACAGGGAGGUAGUGACAAGAAAUAACAAUACAGAGCCUUACGGUUUUGUAAUUGGAAUGAGUUAAGUAUAAACCCCUUAACAAGUAUCAAUUGGAGGGCAAGUCUGGUGCCAGCAGCCGCGGUAAUUCCAGCUCCAAUAGCGUAUAUUAAAGUUGUUGCAGUUAAAAAGCUCGUAGUUAAUUUUCUGUUAAUUUUUAUAUACAAUGCUACGGUAUUUAUAUAAUAUUAACAUAAUUCAUAUUACUUUUUAGUAUAUGAAACUUUACUUUGAGAAAAUUAGAGUGCUUAAAGCAGGCUAUUGCCUUGAAUACUCCAGCAUGGAAUAAUAUUAAGGAUUUUUAUUCUUCUUAUUGGUUCUAGAAUAAAAAUAAUGAUUAAUAGGGACAGUUGGGGGCAUUUGUAUUUAACAGUCAGAGGUGAAAUUCUUAGAUUUGUUAAAGACAAACUACUGCGAAAGCAUUUGCCAAGGAUGUUUUC